AGUGAACGCUGGCGGUAGGCCUAACACAUGCAAGUCGAACGGCAGCACAGUAAGAGCUUGCUCUUACGGGUGGCGAGUGGCGGACGGGUGAGGAAUACAUCGGAAUCUACUUUUUCGUGGGGGAUAACGUAGGGAAACUUACGCUAAUACCGCAUACGACCUACGGGUGAAAGCAGUGGAUCUUCUGACCUUGCGCGAUUGAAUGAGCCGAUGUCGGAUUAGCUAGUUGGCGGGGUAAAGGCCCACCAAGGCGACGAUCCGUAGCUGGUCUGAGAGGAUGGUCAGCCAAACUGGAACUGAGACACGGUCAAGACUCCGACGGGAGGCAGCAGUGGGGAAUAUUGGACAAUGGGCGCAAGCAUGAUCCAGCAAUACCGCGUGGGUGAAGAAGGCCUUCGGGUUGUAAAGCCCUUUUGUUGGGAAAGAAAAGCAGCAGGUUAAUACCACGAUGUUCUGACGGUACCCAAAGAAUAAGCACCGGCUAACUUCGUG
rnacentral:rRNA from 1 species